AUUGAACGCUGGCGGCAGGCUUAACACAUGCAAGUCGAGCGGGGGAGGUUGCUUCGGUAACUGACCUAGCGGCGGACGGGUGAGUAAUGCUUAGGAAUCUGCCUAUUAGUGGGGGACAACAUUCCGAAAGGGAUGCUAAUACCGCAUACGCCCUACGGGGGAAAGCAGGGGAUCUUCGGACCUUGCGCUAAUAGAUGAGCCUAAGUCGGAUUAGCUAGUUGGUGGGGUAAAGGCCUACCAAGGCGACGAUCUGUAGCGGGUCUGAGAGGAUGAUCCGCCACACUGGAACUGAGACACGGUCCAGACUCCUACGGGAGGCAGCAGUGGGGAAUAUUGGACAAUGGGCGAAAGCCUGAUCCAGCCAUGCCGCGUGUGUGAAGAAGGUCUUCGGAUUGUAAAGCACUUUAAGUUGGGAGGAAGGGCUGUAAGCUAAUAUCUUGCUGUUUUGACGUUACCGACAGAAUAAGCACCGGCUAACUCUGUGCCAGCAGCCGCCGUAAGAC
rnacentral:rRNA from 1 species